CGGUUCGAGGCUUCUGGCGACCAACGGUGACGAUGGCGGUGAUGCUGACGAUGACGACGUGGCUGGACCGAUAUCCGGUGCCAAUCGGUACACCAGCUCCACCAACAACAACAACAGCAACUCGCUCAACAACAACAACAACAGCCACAAAUACACACGCAACACGUAUUACGAGACGAGUCCGACGAUGAUUGUCGGAGGUGUGGGGUCAGCGACGUCCUACAGCACCAGCGGUGGCCGUGCCGGGACGUACAGUCCGAAGCAUCGUCGCUCGUCCUUUGUCGCCCCGGGCAGCUACCAUCAUCAUCACCAUCAAAGCACCAUUAAUGAUAUCACCUCGUCCUCCUCCUCGUCGAUCGCGCUAGAUCUGCUGAAGGAUCACCAUCAUCACCAUCAUCGGGUAGCUAGUGAUGGUGGUGGAGCGGCUGCCAGUGGAACCAACGCCAUUGCGUCGUCGUCCUCCUCGAACACACUGUCCGCUUCCGAGAACAACUACGGUGGUAGUGGUAGCGGGGGUGCCACCAGCAGCAACAGUACGCCAGCGGCCAGUGGCAGCGGAUCACGGACGUUACGAUCGUACGAGACGCGCAGCAGCUCCCUGCUGACACCGGCGGCUUUGCGUGAAGCGCGCUUCGGUAGCCCGGUCACGCGGUACGACAGCGGAACACUUACCAAAAACAGCAAGGCACUGCAACUAAUCAAAAGCCGACUCUAUCUCCCUCUCGUCACGAUGUUCACGCGCCCAUUGGCUACCGAUCGCGCCAACCGGCCCUCUCCCUCCCACAACGUCCCCGGUGUGUGAAGCGAUGCACCCAACGACGACCGGCCUCGCCGCCACCGCCAUCACCACCACCAGUAUCGGACGGUUCUCUAUCGAAACUUUAUGAUGUGUCUGAAGCUUGGUAGAGCAUCCUGAACGAUCUCCUUCCUAGUAGUAGCAUCUCUAUAUCACUAUCUGCCCCUCUCGCUAGCCCAUCUGCCUUCCCGUCUUCUCCCUACCGUGUGCGCCUACUAGAUGCGCUUUGGCUUUCGCUUUCCGCUAGAAGCUACCGCAAUCGUACCUCCUCCACGUCUAGGCCAACGACGGACAACAGUUCUUAAGGCGUGACGACAUUUCGGAGGAAGACUCGCAAUCGAAGCAACUUUACGCUAAACGGCACUGCGUGGCACCUGUGUCCCGAAUGGAGCCCCCCGGGGGUUUAUCCGGUGUUUAUUUUUGGUUACUAAAUUAUCGCUUUAGAGGGAGAGCGAGAGAGAGCCAAAGCUCCGUAGGCUUAACAAGACAAAAAACAUUGCAUUUAGACCAUGAACGUGUCCCCGGCUGCAUCAAAGUGAAGAAGCCAUAAAAAAUCGCCGGACGAUGACCCGGGAACUAGUUGUAAUAGCGGCGAGGUGUGCCAAACGAUUACAGAAAGAGGGAUUUUUAUGACAAAACCACCACCACUACCACCAGCAUGUUUUAUAAGAAUCUUUUCCAUGUUACCUCCACUCCACUAUCACUGUGGUAUGACACUCACCGAUCGAUUAAACAGGAUAACACAACCAUAUCUCAAUCCAGCGCGCUUGGGCGAUGGGCAGACGGGCGGCACCAUGUGAUCACCAUGCGCCUCCAUAAGCAUGGUGCAUCCAUCAUGGUUCGCAUGAUCCCACUCGACCACGCGGGAUUUCGGAUUUCCUACUGUGCCGGAUGUCCUUCGGACCAUCUGCGUAUUUAUCAACUAACAAGCAAAUUUGGGGGGGGGGGGGCUGUGGGAGUCCCUACCGGACCCCGUUCCGGGAACCGACUGGCUCUGCACCUCACCACGGUACAGGCGGUGAGUUUUGUGACACGACCUUAUUGGUUCUUGGAGGGUACUUCGGGGGUGUCCCAAUGCCCAAUUCGUCAAUUCUGUUACCGGAAUCCGUUCACACCUCAUGAUGAGUAUCAGUAUCACCGCUCAGGUGCCUUUCGUUUUCGAACUACCCUUUCUACCCCUUUCCUAGGCCUUUUCUAGGUUCUAUCUGUGUCUAUCUGUGUCUGUCUAUCACACACACACGGUCUCUCUCUCUCUUUCCCGUUCUUCUGCUCCAAUAUGAUAUAAAAGGAGGACGGAUUUGAAGCGUGAAACGCUUAAAAUACACUCCCACCAAAAAAAAAAGUAGCCGAAUUUGCCGGUUAGAAAACCAAUUUAGCUGGGAUAGUAAUUCCGAUCUUACCAAAAACAGUGUCAUCGAUGUAUUUGAUUUGUUCAAAUCUGCACAAAUUGGCCACCGAUGAGCAAAGAGGAUUGCUGGUGAAGGGGGGGACAGAAAGCAAAGGGGACUUCGAGUAGGUUCCUGCCAAAAAUAAAUAUAUUAAACCGUGUGCCAUCGCGUGCCAUGUAUUGUAGCGGUGCUGCUUCUCAGUCUUGCCUCCCUAGGGCAGAAAUCUGAACGGCGACGGCGGCAGCGGAGAGGUUCGAACGAUAUUUGAAACUAGAAACACCAGGUAGGGGCAGAGACAAACGGAUACAAACGGUAUCGCUAAUUAUUAGGUGUUAAAGGAAAUUUUAAAAAAUAAAAUCAAAAUUAACUGUAAUCACAAAAUGCCAAACGUCGAAGUCACCACGUUGUGAACCGUACAUGUGCGUGUGGCUGAUGGGUAGAACGUGUUGUAAAGGCGUUUUUUUAGAUAAAUUUUUAUUCGCCAAAGGCAACGGAGCAAUAGGAAGUGCAUUGUUUGAGCACAGUAAAAAUGCUUAAAUGUAUGUGUGCAUCUGUGUGUGCGUGUUUGCGAUUAUACGGCCUGAACCGGGAGGGAUCGUGGGAACUGUAUGCUGAGGCCGAUCCUUCGUACGGGAUACUGUGAUGAGAGUGAUAGUUGGUUUAGUACGAGAGUAGGCAUCGGAGGAGACGUGUGAAGUGUGAAGCUGUGGGGAAUAGUAGGCCGAUUUAUCCAUCGAAUCAGCCAUACAACGCCGACUACGACAAUACACAACAGAUCGGAUUGGACAAAUCGUCCAAAAAGGCGAUUAAAACGAAUGAUCAUUUGUGUUGGCCACAACCACAACCAUUUGUAGCUCGUUGUUUAGAAGAACGGGUGAGGUUUAGUAGCAAUAUUAGCAAUAGCGACAAGAGCAUGAGCAGAUAUCAACGUUGGUUCGCCCUGCACUGCGAUCGGUUGUAGCUUGAAUGUGGUGUAAACAUUGGAACCGCAUCGAAUGUCCCAUCGAAUCGAAUGUCUUCUGACCCUUUGUUGUACGCAGACCCAGUAUAUAGAUGGAUGAGAUGGAUGGAUCCAGCGCAGGAAUGAAUGAUUAAA